rfam:Pseudogymnoascus sp. 05NY08 unplaced genomic scaffold scaffold_65, whole genome shotgun sequence.
UCAUAUGAUGAUACUUAUUCACACUGUUUGAGGCGGACUCAGGUCCGUCACUGAACGCAUCAACACAAAAUCUGAUUUAAUGAGGUAUGUUA